AUUGAACGCUGGCGGCAUGCCUUACACAUGCAAGUCGAACGAAGUCUUCGGACUUAGUGGCGGACGGGUGAGUAACACGUGGGAACGUGCCUUUAGGUUCGGAAUAACUCAGGGAAACUUGUGCUAAUACCGAAUGUGCCCUUCGGGGGAAAGAUUUAUCGCCUUUAGAGCGGCCCGCGUCUGAUUAGCUAGUUGGUGAGGUAAAGGCUCACCAAGGCGACGAUCAGUAGCUGGUCUGAGAGGAUGAUCAGCCACAUUGGGACUGAGACACGGCCCAAACUCCUACGGGAGGCAGCAGUGGGGAAUCUUGCGCAAUGGGCGAAAGCCUGACGCAGCCAUGCCGCGUGAAUGAUGAAGGUCUUAGGAUUGUAAAAUUCUUUCACCGGGGACGAUAAUGACGGUACCCGGAGAAGAAGCCCCGGCUAACUUCGUGCCAGCAGCCGCCGUAA
rnacentral:rRNA from 1 species